rnacentral:rRNA from 1 species
CGCUGGCGGCGUGCCUAACACAUGCAAGUCGAACGAGAAAGUGGAGCAAUCCAUGAGUAAAGUGGCGGCGGGUGAGUAACACGUGACUAACCUACCCUUGAGUGGGGGGAUAACUUCGGGAAACCGAGGCUAAUACCGCAUAAUACCUUCGGGUCAAAGGAGUAAUUCGCUUAAGGAGGGGGUCGCGGCUGAUUAGCUAGUUGGUAGGGUAAUGGCCUACCAAGGCAAUGAUCAGUAUCCGGCCUGAGAGGGCGCACGGACACACUGGAACUGAAACACGGUCCAGACUCCUACGGGAGGCAGCAGUGGGGAAUUUUGCACAAUGGGGGAAACCCUGAUGCAGCAACGCCGCGUGGAGGAUGAAGUCCCUUGGGAUGUAAACUCCUUUCGACCGGGACGAUAAUGACGGUACCGGUGGAAGAAGCCCCGGCUAACUCUGUGCCAGCAGCCGCGGUAAUACAGAGGGGGCAAGCGUUGUUCGGAAUUAUUGGGCGUAAAGGGUGCGUAGGCGGUGCGGUAAGUCUUCUGUGAAAUCUCCGGGCUCAACUCGGAGUCUGCAGGAGAAACUGCCGUGCUUGAGUAUGGGAGAGGUGAGUGGAAUUCCUGGUGUAGCGGUGAAAUGCGUAG